rnacentral:rRNA from 1 species
GACGAACGCUGGCGGCGUGCUUAACACAUGCAAGUCGAACGGAAAGGCCCUGCUUUUGUGGGGUGCUAGUGGCGAACGGGUGAGUAACACGUGAGUAACCUGCCCUUGACUUUGGGAUAACUUCAGGAAACUGGGGCUAAUACCGGAUAGGAGCUCCUGCUGCAUGGUGGGGGUUGGAAAGUUUCGGCGGUUGGGGAUGGACUCGCGGCUUAUCAGCUUGUUGGUGGGGUAGUGGCUUACCAAGGCUUUGACGGGUAGCCGGCCUGAGAGGGUGACCGGCCACAUUGGGACUGAGAUACGGCCCAGACUCCUACGGGAGGCAGCAGUGGGGAAUAUUGCACAAUGGGCGGAAGCCUGAUGCAGCAACGCCGCGUGCGGGAUGACGGCCUUCGGGUUGUAAACCGCUUUCGCCUGUGACGAAGCGUGAGUGACGGUAAUGGGUAAAGAAGCACCGGCUAACUACGUG